rnacentral:lncRNA from 12 species
CCAGGGUGCCCAGGGUGCCCAGGGCGCCGAGGGCCCGCCUCCCCGGCCCGCCUCCCUGGGGCCUUGGCUGGGCCCUGCUCCAGAUCCUGACACUGCUUGGCCAAGUUCCUCACCUCUCCUGGGGUGUAGGUUGCACUUUCUUCUCCAGCCUUUCUCCUCUGAGGUAGAAAAAACUCACGGGAUCCCCAGAUUUUUGGCAUGUACAGGAAGUGACAGAAGCACCGCUGGAGGAUGGGGGAUGAAUAAUUUUCAUUGCAGGUGAGUGUGAGUAAAAGCGACCUAAGUAGCACUUCUAGACUAGACUCAAACUGUGUGAAUAUUUUCGUGGAGGAGAAAGGAGGAUUUUCUGUGUUUUGAAUUUAUGAGUCCCUAUCAGAAUUGCCUAGGAAGCUGAGAGGGAGCAGGAGCAGUGCUCUCAAGGGGAAGGCAUGGGACCCCCCCUCGGUGUCUGUCUUGCAGUUGGGCACAACAGGGGCAAAGUUCCCUACGAUUCACUUUGAGGUUGGCUGGUGGUGUUCCUCCAGAAUUAAGCACUUAUCCCCCAGCAGACGUUUGUCACUGAAGUCCUGAGGGAAGCAAAAUAAUCUUCAGGCCUCAAAAUAAUCUUCCUUGUUUCUGUCUCCAUGGCUGGCUGAUUCAUAUUUUGUAGGAGGUUUGACCAUAGCCGGGAAUGGCUGAGGAGCUGGUGUAAUUUUCUCCUUCCUCACCCCACAGAGAGGGAGUGAGGAGAGGCACGAAGAGUGGAGACAGGGUGUGGGAGUCAAACCUGUUCUUCACAUAGCAAUCGCCUCGUCUCACUCUUUGCUCUCACUCCAAGAAGUUGAGUCCACAGCUGGGAAAACUAGGAGCUAGUCUGAGUCUGCUUGGCUUGUAUCCAGCUUCCCUCUUUUUUUGUUCCCUCUCCCUAAGGGAAUUAAAGGGAACAGGUAAUAUCCCCCCCUGCUUCCCCCACUUCCAGAUGUAGGAGAACUGCAGUGCAUAGAAUCAUAGGCUGGAGGUGGGGGCUUGAAAUGCUUUAGGCUCGUGCCUUGCUCUCCUUGGUCAUCUCCAGAAGAGGAUGCCAGGAUCCACUCACUGGCCUUACUGCUUGCUUUUGAGGGCUUGAAGGGAUUAUGAAGGAACUGGAGGGCAAAGUAGCUUAGGGGAAGUGUCAAGAUGUGAUAUGUUAAGGGGGCAAAUAGUGUCCUG